AGCGAACGCUGGCGGCAGGCUUAACACAUGCAAGUCGAACGGUCCUUCGGGAUAGUGGCGGACGGGUGAGUAACACGUGGGAACGUACCCUUAGGUUCGGAACAACACAGGGAAACUUGUGCUAAUACCGGAUAAGCCCUUCGGGGGAAAGAUUUAUCGCCUUUGGAGCGGCCCGCGUCUGAUUAGCUUGUUGGUGAGGUAAUGGCUCACCAAGGCUACGAUCAGUAGCUGGUCUGGGAGGAUGGCCAGCCACACUGGGACUGAGACACGGCCCAGACUCCUACGGGAGGCAGCAGUGGGUAAUCUUGCGCAAUGGGCGAAAGCCUUACGCAGCCAUGCCGCGUGGAUGAUGAAGGUCUUAGGAUUGUAAAAUCCUUUCACCGGGGACGAUAAUGACGGUACCCGGAGAAGAAGCCCCGGCUAACUUCGUGCCAGCCGCCGCCGUAA
rnacentral:rRNA from 1 species